AUACGUAGGUGGCAAGCGUUGUCCGGAAUUAUUGGGCGUAAAGCGCAUGUAGGCGGUAAUUUAAGUCUGUCGUGAAACUGCGGGGCUCAGCCCCGUAUGGCGAUGGAAACUGGGUUACUUGAGUGCAGGAGAGGAAAGGGGAACUCCCAGUGUAGCGGUGAAAUGCGUAGAUAUUGGGAAGAACACCGGUGGCGAAGGCGCCUUUCUGGACUGUGUCUGUCGCUGAGAUGCGAAAGCCAGGGUGGCGAACGGGAUUAGAUACCCCAGUAGUCCUGGCCGUAAACGAUGGGUACUAGGUGGGGGAGGUAUCGACCCCUUCCGUGCCGGAGUUAACGCAAUAAGAACCCCGCCUGGGGAGUACGGCCGCAAGGCUUAAACUCAAAUGAAUUGACGGGG
rnacentral:rRNA from 1 species